CAGCUCGAGUUUCUCUUCAUUGUCGCAUAAAUCUUUCGCCUUUUAAUAAAGAUUUCCGUGGAGGGGAACUUUUGCGAGUGAUAAACACGCACACACACACGCAUUAUUUUUUUAGGAAAUUCAGCAAAUUCA
rnacentral:snRNA from 1 species